CCGAGUGCGGGCCCCCUGGGGUCCAACCUCCCACCCGUGUCUAUCGUACCUUGUUGCUUCGGCGGGCCUGUCGCCCGCGGCCGCCUGGAGGCACCUGUCUCUGGGCGCGUGCCCGCCGAAGACCCCUCUGAACGCUGCCUGAAGGUUGCAGUCUGAGUGGCUUAGCGAAAUCGUUA
rnacentral:misc_RNA from 1 species